GACGAACGCUGGCGGCGUGCCUAAUACAUGCAAGUGGGACGCAAGGGAACACACUGUGCUUGCACACCGUGUUUUCUUGAGUCGCGAACGGGUGAGUAACGCGUAGGUAACCUGCCUAUUAGCGGGGGAUAACUAUUGGAAACGAUAGCUAAUACCGCAUAAUAUUAAUUAUUGCAUGAUAAUUGAUUGAAAGAUGCAAGCGCAUCACUAGUAGAUGGACCUGCGUUGUAUUAGCUAGUUGGUAAGGUAAGAGCUUACCAAGGCGACGAUACAUAGCCGACCUGAGAGGGUGAUCGGCCACACUGGGACUGAGACACGGCCCAGACUCCUACGGGAGGCAGCAGUAGGGAAUCUUCGGCAAUGGACGAAAGUCUGACCGAGCAACGCCGCGUGAGUGAAGAAGGUUUUCGGAUCGUAAAGCUCUGUUGUAAGUCAAGAACGUGUGU
rnacentral:rRNA from 1 species